rnacentral:rRNA from 1 species
UACGUAGGCAGCAAGCGUUGUUCGGAGUUACUGGGCGUAAAGGGUGUGUAGGCGGUUCUUUAAGUUUGGUGUGAAAUCUCCCGGCUCAACUGGGAGGGUGCGCCGAAUACUGAGGGACUAGAGUACGGGAGAGGAAAGUGGAAUUCCUGGUGUAGCGGUGAAAUGCGUAGAUAUCUGGAGGAACACCGGUGGCGAAGGCGGCAUCCUGGACCGGCAUUGACGCUGAGGCGCGAAAGCCAGGGGAGCAAACGGG